rnacentral:rRNA from 1 species
GAUGGUGAUGAUGAUUUGCACAUGCCCAAUCUCAUUUGAUUCAAACCUAACCAGGGUCAGGCCUGGUUAAUAUUUGGAUGGGAAACCACCAGGGAAUACCAGCAAUUUCCAGGU